rnacentral:rRNA from 1 species
GAUGAACGCUGGCGGCGUGCCUAAUACAUGCAAGUCGAGCGAAUGGAUUAAGAGCUUGCUCUUAUGAAGUUAGCGGCGGACGGGUGAGUAACACGUGGGUAACCUGCCCAUAAGACUGGGAUAACUCCGGGAAACCGGGGCUAAUCCCGGAUAACAUUUUGAACAGCAUGGUUCGAAAUUGAAAGGCGGCUUCGGCUGGCACUUAUGGAUGGACCCGCGUCGCAUUAGCUAGUUGGUGAGGUAACGGCUCACCAAGGCAACGAUGCGUAGCCGACCUGAGAGGGUGAUCGGCCACACUGGGACUGAGACACGGCCCAGACUCCUACGGGAGGCAGCAGUAGGGAAUCUUCCGCAAUGGACGAAAGUCUGACGGAGCAACGCCGCGUGAGUGAUGAAGGCUUUCGGGUCGUAAAACUCUGUUGUUAGGGAAGAACAAGUGCUAGUUGAAUAAGCUGGCACCUUGACGGUACCUAACCAGAAAGCCACGGCUAACUACGUGCCAGCCGCCGCGGUAA